GAUUUCCCUAGGACUUUAUGUCCUCUAAAGAGCCGUUCGAGACUAGGACGUUGAUAGGUUGGAUGUGGAAGCAUAGUGAUAUGUGAAGCUGACCAAUACUAAUUGCUCGUGAGGCUUGACUAU
rnacentral:rRNA from 1 species